rnacentral:rRNA from 1 species
UACGUAGGGGGCUAGCGUUGUCCGGAAUCAUUGGGCGUAAAGAGCGCGUAGGCGGCCAGAUAAGUCCGGUGUGAAAGUACACGAGGCCUCAACCUGUGAAUGCCGCUGGAAAACUGUCUGGCUUGAGUCCGGGAGGGGCGGAGUGGAAAUUCCUGGUGUAGCGGUAGAAAUGCGUAGAGAGUCGGAGGAACACCAGUGGCGAAGGCGGCUCGCUGGGCCGGUCCGUGACACUGAGGCGCGAAGGCGUGGGGAGCGAACGG